UGCCAUAUGGUGCAGUGGCUAAGCGUUUUGUCUUCCGAACUCAAGGCCGGGGUUCGAUUCCACAUGGGGUCA